rnacentral:rRNA from 1 species
AUUGAACGCUGGCGGCAGGCCUAACACAUGCAAGUCGAGCGAGCGGCGGACGGGUGAGUAAUGUCUGGGAAACUGCCUGAUGGAGGGGGACAACUACUGGAACCGGUAGCUAAUACCGCAUACCAUCAGAUGUGCCCAGAUGGGAUUAGCUAGUAGGUGGGGUAAUGGCUCACCUAGGCGACGAUCCCUAGCUGGUCUGAGAGGAUGACCUGCCACCCUGGAACUGAGACAGGGUCCAGACUCCUACGGGAGGCAGCAGUGGGGAAUAUUGCGCAAUGGGCGCAAGGCUGAUGGAGCCAAGCCGCUUGUGUGAAGAAGGCCUUCGGUGUGUAAAGCACUUUCAGCGAGGAUGCGUUACUCGCAGAAGAAGCACCGGCUAACUCCGUGCCAGCAGCCGCGGUAAUAC